GUCCGGCCUGUUUUUCUUUCGUAACAAAAAGGUAGGUUUGGUCCCCGCAUCCCAGUCUGGGCUGCGGAGAUUGCCCCUUACCUCUGCUGGGCCGGGCCUGAGAGAAUGAGGGAAUAUUGUCUUGGGGAGGAGAGCGGGACCACCACGUGGGCGCCGCAGACGCACCCGCACCUCCUGACCCCCAAAGUGAGAAAAAUAAUCACAAUUACAAACCCCCCCCCCCCCAAAACACAAAAAUAAAACCCGUAGUCUUUCCCUCUGCGUACCACCGCGUUGGGCUCUGGGCUUCAGAGCGUCAGGCCUGGUGUGGGGGAAGGGGAGAUUGGAGUGGGGGAUGAGAGACAGCUCAGUCCCACCCCCACUCUUCCCCUUUCUUCCAAACCCUCCCCCACCCGGCUCAGCAAGGAGGGGCGGGGGCGCUAGGCCGAGAGGAGCGGCCCAGGCCCACUCCUUCUGUUUGAGGAGGGGGCGGCGGCUCGCGCACCUCCUCCCGCCCACAUUUGCCCUCCGCCGCCAAUCACCCUUAUUAAUUCGCGCUGGGAAAGGAUCACACACUGGAAGUUCGUCAACGGAUGCCUGGAAAAGUCUGGAGGACACGGAUGUGGACAGUAAGGGAGAAGGGUUGGGACUUUCGGGGUGGGGUGGGUGCUGGGCGCUAGUCAUGGCCACCUGAGCUGCGCUCUUGCCCAUUUCCAUCUUCUCAGACCAGUGUGCCCCUCCCCUCCCCUAACGACCCCUCUCCACUUGUGAGCUGACCCACACCUAUCCAGGCUGGACCUUGGCUGAGGCACGGCUCCCAAACUCUGGGGGGAGACAAGUCCUCCCCAGCCCAAAUUCUGGGUGGAACGUGCCUCAGAACUAGUAGGAGGGGCAAGCUCAGCCCCACUCCCAAGCACCAGCCAACCCAAAGGAACGCUGGCUGCCUCAGUUGCUGUCCACAGGAAAGGAGGGGCGCGGAUAGUGGUUCUUUGGCUGUCUGAGGCACAGGAGGAUCCAGAUGGAGGCACUGUUCCUGGAAACACCUUAAUGAACCUUCUAGAGCUUUCGGAGGACAAGGGGAGCAGCCGUGAUCUGAGGCCCUGAGUCUUGGGUAACACAAUAAUAAUGAUGAGGAAAUUGAGGCACAGCAAGAGUGAGUAACUUGCUAAAAGCUAGAAUUGGAACUCAGGCCAGUUUGUCCUCUUAACUCCAUGGAGUUGUGUUACCUGGCGAAGUACCACUCUGCAAGGGCAAGAGGAAGUGCUGAGCAGGCAGAGAGGACCCCAGGAGAGGAAUGCCCUCUAUGGAAAUGGUGGUAAGAUGUGUGCCGUCUGACUCAGUGCUCAUUACACUACUCUACGGCUUGGUGCUGGGCUGAGAGAAGGGGAUGUUGAUUCCAGAGUCUGGGGCUCCAUUUGGGGAACUGCUGAUCCUCAGGCAUCCAGACAGUUGUGGGAAAGAUACCUUUCAUCCUCUCCGUCCUCGAGAACUUCAGCAAGAUCUUGAUGCCCCCUGGUCCCCAGACUCCUCUGCACAUCUGGACACAGGCUCCAGGGAACAUUCCAGAAGACCUGCCUUCAUUUACUGUCUCACGUUGAGAAGGAUUCUGGGGAGACUUUGGGAGACCCCCAAGGAAAUGACUAUUGUGGAAGAACUGCCUUGUUUUCCCUUUGGGGGGCCCUUUGUCCCCAGCCUGGUGUAGGGGUGUCUCUGUGUCAGGGGCUCUGUGAGGAGGGUAGCCCCUGACCAGGGUCACAUCGACACCUAGACAGACAUCUCAGGUCUGGAGAAAUUAAGGGAAGAAGGAAGGGAUUGAGGUGGUGGAGCAAGUGGACCAGCAGGUGACCUUUGCCCUCUGCCCUCCCCUCAAACCCUGCAGGAGCCCCUGGCUGCUCCAGCAAGGGGCGGGGGUGGGGGGACUCCAUCUGGGUGGGGCCGGUGGAAUCUGGCGGACCUCCUGGGGGCUGCCCUGGGGAUGGACGCCCAGCAGCGUUGGGAACAGACUGAGUCAGAUCCGGAGAGCGGCACAGGGCGGCCCAGCUGAGAUCACGGCCUGGUGGCUGGAGGUGGCCUCCCAGCUCGAGUCCUCCACCCCCAGCUGGUGUCCAUCCAGAGAGCCCUCCGACACGCACCAGGCGCCUUCCCGGCGUCAGUGUAGCACUCCUGGGACGCAAGAUGCUCAGAGCCAAGACCAGGCCGUGACUGGGCUCCAAUCUCCACCCUUCCCGUGUGCCCAAAUUGACGGAGGCGUGACCCUGCCCUCACGGAGCCCCCAGUCUGAGAGAAGAUGAGAAGAUGGAGACGCACUUAAAGAACACAAAGAUGAAGGGGUCUGCCCAGUGGCAUAGCAGUAAAGUUCACGUACUCUGCUUUGGCGGCCCAGGGUUCGUGGGUUCGGAUCCCGGGCAUGGACCUAGCACUGCUGGUCAAGCCACACUGUAGAGGCAUCCCACAUGAAACAGAGGAAGACUGGCACAGAUGUUAGCUCAGGGCCAUUCUUCCUCACCAAAAAAACCCUCAAACCCCCCACAAAGAUGAAGGUCAAAAGGAAACCCCCCAGUGGACCAGGUCAGGGAGAGACGCACUGUGCCCAAGAGCCUAGGGCAGGCACUGUCCUGACACGAAGCGGCCAUGGGUGCCCGUGUGGGUCAGCUCGCUCGUGGCUCCUUCGUCCAGAAGCCCGGCCUCUGACCCCCUUGUACCCACAGUGCACUGAGGCUGGGAGUUGUGCAAGGGUCAGCAGGCAGGGUGGCGGGCUGGCUGGGGAGGGGAGAUUCCUGUCUCCUGCCCCAGCUCCCUGAGGCCUUCCCUCCCGCAGCCUUGGCCUCGGUGCGCAGCAAGCUGUUGGAGCUUGUUUGGCCUAAGGGUUCGCACCCUGCCUCCUCCCCCUCGCCUUCCUGCUCAAGAACAGCAGCCAGAGGCCUGAGACGGAGGAAAGCCAGGGGCUGGUGGUGGGCCGGGGCACUGCUGAG
rnacentral:lncRNA from 1 species